rnacentral:rRNA from 1 species
GAUGAACGCUGGCGGCGUGCCUAAUACAUGCAAGUCGAGCGAACAGACGAGGAGCUUGCUCCUCUGACGUUAGCGGCGGACGGGUGAGUAACACGUGGAUAACCUACCUAUAAGACUGGGAUAACUUCGGGAAACCGGAGCUAAUACCGGAUAAUAUAUUGAACCGCAUGGUUCAAUAGUGAAAGACGGUUUUGCUGUCACUUAUAGAUGGAUCCGCGCCGCAUUAGCUAGUUGGUAAGGUAACGGCUUACCAAGGCAACGAUGCGUAGCCGACCUGAGAGAGUGAUCGGCCACCCUGGAACUGAGACACGGUCCAGACUCCUACGGGAGGCAGCAGUAGGGAAUCUUCCGCAAUGGGCGAAAGCCUGACGGAGCAACGCCGCGUGAGUGAUGAAGGUCUUCGGAUCGUAAAACUCUGUUAUUAGGGAAGAACAAAUGUGUAAGUAACUAUGCACGUCUUGACGGUACCUAAUCAGAAAGCCACGGCUAACUACGUG